GCCCGUGUGGCUCAGUGGAUAGAGCAUCAGCCUGCAGACUGAAGGGUCCCGGGUUCAAUUCCGAGCAAGGGCA
rfam:Myotis brandtii contig292042, whole genome shotgun sequence.